ensembl:lncRNA
UCCGAAAACGGAAGGUGGGAGCGAGGAUCCCCUGUUCUCUGAGAACAGUGGGAAAGGUUGGAAGCAGGAUCCCUGUUCUCUAGAAACAGUGGAAAGGUUGGAAGCAGGAUCCCUGUUCUCUAGAAACAGGGGAAAGGUUGGAACAGGAUCCCUGUUCUCUAGAAACAGUGGAAAGGUUGGAAGCAGGGAUCCCUGUUCUCUAGAAACAGUGGGAAGGUUGGAAGCAGGAUCCAUGUUCUCUAGAAACGUGGAAAGGUUGGAAGCAGGGAUCCCUGUUCUCUAGAACAGUGGGAAGGUUGGAAGCAGGAUCCCUGUUCUCUAGAACAGUGGAAGGUUGGAAGCAGGAUCCUGUUCUCUAGAACAGUGGGAAGGUUGGAAGCAGGGAUCCCUGUUUCUCUAAAACUGGGAAGGUUGGAAGCAGGGAUCCCUGUUCUCUAGAAACAGUGGAAGAUUGGAAGCAGGGAUCCCUGUUCUCUAGAACAGUGGGAAGU